rnacentral:rRNA from 1 species
UACGGGGGGGGCAAGCGUUGUUCGGAAUUACUGGGCGUAAAGGGCUCGUAGGCGGCCAACUAAGUCAGACGUGAAAUCCCUCGGCUUAACCGGGGAACUGCGUCUGAUACUGGAUGGCUUGAGUUUGGGAGAGGGAUGCGGAAUUCCAGGUGUAGCGGUGAAAUGCGUAGAUAUCUGGAGGAACACCGGUGGCGAAGGCGGCAUCCUGGACCAACACUGACGCUGAGGGGCGAAAGCCAGGGGAGCAAACGGG